GCCGCCCUUCCGUGCCUCCAGCACCACGUGUCUGGGCCAUGUGAGCAAGGUCACAUGGGCCCGAUGUGGUGCUGGGGGCGGCAGGGCUCUGCUCU
ensembl:miRNA microRNA 770